rnacentral:antisense_RNA from 1 species
UUUUAUGGGUGGCCGUAUGUGGGAGGGUUUAUCCCUGCCGGGCCUCGUUCCGGUCUGUCAACCUGCAUACGCGCUGCCCACCCGU